CAGGACAGCAUGUGAUGGGGGUCAGGCAGAUGCAGUGUAGAUGGGGGAUUAUCUCAUUGCCAAUGAGCUUCCUGAGGGGCAUGAAUCAGCCCUGUACCUAGGUUCCCUGCUGUCUCAUGGCUGUCCUUGAACCAAUUAUGGGGAGCCUAAAGAUUCUUGGAAUAACAGUUUGAAAACCACAAAUGGAGUCCUAUUCUUUGGGUUUAUGAACAAGGAAUCUGUGACCCAAGCCAGUGCUAAGUGAACUGGUUCCCUGGAUUAAGGAUUGCACCUGGCCAGUUUAAGAACAUGAUAAUUUCAAGGAACAAUAUUAUGUGAUUUCUAUCUACAGUGCUUUGAAGCAAAAGAAUUAAAGUCAUGAA